CGAACGCUGGCGGCAGGCCUAAUACAUGCAAGUCGAACGGCUCUUCGGAGCAGUGGCGGACGGGCGAGUAACGCGUGGGAAUGUGCCCUUAGGUACGGAACAACACAGGGAAACUUGUGCAAAUACCGUAUGUGCCCUUCGGGGGAAAGAUUUAUCGCCAUUGGAGCAGCCCGCGUUGGAUUAGGUAGUUGGUGAGGUAAAGGCUCACCAAGCCUACGAUCCAUAGCGGGUCUGAGAGGAUGAUCAGCCACACUGGGACUGAGACACGGACCAGACUCCUACGGGAGGCAGCAGUAGGGAAUCUUGCGCAAUGGGCGAAAGCCUGACGCAGCCAUGCCGCGUGAAUGAUGAAGGUCUUAGGAUUGUAAAAUUCUUUCACCGGGGAAGAUAAUGACGGUACCCGGAGAAGAAGCCCCGGCUAACUUCGUGCCAGCCGCCGCAGUAACAC
rnacentral:rRNA from 1 species